rnacentral:rRNA from 1 species
ACGUUAGCGGCGGACGGGUGAGUAACACGUGGAUAACCUACCUAUAAGACUGGGAUAACUUCGGGAAACCGGAGCUAAUACCGGAUAAUAUUUCGAACCGCAUGGUUCGAUAGUGAAAGAUGGUUUUGCUAUCACUUAUAGAUGGACCCGCGCCGUAUUAGCUAGUUGGUAAGGUAACGGCUUACCAAGGCGACGAUACGUAGCCGACCUGAGAGGGUGAUCGGCCACACUGGAACUGAGACACGGUCCAGACUCCUACGGGAGGCAGCAGGU